AUGGAUAAAGGAACAAACAAACAGACAAACAAAGGAAUGAAUCAUAAUGGUCCUUGCUGUUAUCCACUGACCCCUAUCAUAGUCUGUUAUCUACUGACCCCUAUCAUAGUCUGUUAUCUACUGACCCCUAUCAGUCUGUUAUCUACUGACCCCUAUCAGUCUUAUCUACUGACCCCUAUCAGUCUGCUAUCUACUGACCCCUAUCAUAGUCUGCUAUCUACUGUCCCCUAUCAUAGUCUGUUAUCUACUGACCCCUAUCAUAGUCUGUUAUCUACUGACCCCUAUCAUAGUCUGUUAUCUACUGACCCCUAUCAUAGUCUGUUAUCUACUGACCCCUAUCAUAGUCUGCUCUCUACUGACCCCUAUCAUAGUCUGUUAUCUACUGACCCCUAUCAUAGUCUGUUAUCUACUGACCCCUAUCAUAGUCUGUUAUCCACUGACCCCUAUCAUAGUCUGUUAUCUACUGACCCCUAUCAUAGUCUGUUAUCUACUGACCCCUAUCAUAGUCUGCUAUCUACUGACCCCUUACAGUCUGUUAUCUACUGACCCCUAUCAUAGUCUUCUAUCCACUGUCCCCUACCGUAGGCUGCUAUCCACUAUCGCCUACCAUAGUCUGCUAUCCACUAUCCCCUACCGUAGGCUGCUAUCCACUAUCGCCUACCAUAGUCUGCUAUCCACUAUCGCCUACCAUAGUCUGCUAUAGGUGAUAGUCACCUACCGUAGGCUGCUUUCCGUUCUCCCAUACAGCCACCCAUUCCUCGGCUCCUGGACCAACACGGUGACCAUCUCUCCCCGGGUGAAGGGUAGCAGUUUGGGGUUGGAGGAGGGUGGGUGGGACACCAGGGCUCUCAUGGUCCUACCCCCACCCAGACCCAGAGACUCACCCACUGAGGAGGAGCGGGAUCGGCUGUGGAGGGGGGACGGGGCUGGGGGAGGAAGGGGGUAGAGAGGGUGAUGGGGAAGGAGAAGAAAGAGAGACGGAUGGAGAAAAGUUUAUCCAAUGAAAAAUCCCCACGGUAUCAACCAAAAUAUUUCCCUGCUAUGCACUAAAUGAAUACAAUAACACACGUGAGUAGUGUAGCUGAUUGACUAAAUAUAACCCUGUUCUUUGGGGGUGCAGUGUAGUCAUCACACCUCUAGAGGGCACUCUCCCCAGGGCCUGCUGUUCUCUCCUGGCCCAAGACAUGUCUCUGUCCUCAUCUACUGUCUGCAGCAGAGAGCUCACUGAGCCACACAGCUGAGGAGAGAGGGAGACAGGGGAAGGUUGAUUGGUUGGGUGGAACUCUAACUUGUUCCUCCUGGUCAGGGUGGGUGGGGCUACG
rnacentral:lncRNA from 1 species